UUUAAGCGCAGCCAUGAGUUUCCGUGUCCAAUUUUAAUCGUCCGUCUUAUUUAAAAAUUUUUCAUGAUUAAUAUUUUUAUUGUUAUUAGAUAAUAAAACACGAAUAUUACUUUAUGUGUGACUUAUGUUUUAAUAUUUUUUAAAAAAGUUUUAAUAAGAUAAACGAUUGAAGUUGAACACGGAAACUCAUGGCUACGUUUAAA
rfam:Oryza rufipogon genomic scaffold, chr11